UACAACCUGAUUUAAGACCCUGGGGAGGGCAGAAUCCAUGAGAGCACGAUGGUUCUCAUUCAAGCCACACGACUGGAAUGCAGUGGGAGCGUUUUCUGUAAGAUUGAGAAGGCAAGAGGAGUGGCGUGCUCACUCCAGAAUAGACUCUGAGAAGGGGUUAGAAACUUUGAGAUGUUGAAUGUCAGUUGUCCAAAUCAAAUUCAGACAAAAUUACAACAGCCAAAAGCCAAUAAUGAAGAAAAAUGCUCUUCAGCCAAGUAUGUUCAUCUUAGGAUCAAGUUCAAAUAAGAGGGCAGAGACUGACCCAUAUGCCCCCUUGACUGAAGAAGUAGAAAGUGUUUCUAUACACAAGAACUGAGAAAUGCCUAUACUACAGCUGAGUUAAAGAAUGAAUACUGAAGCAUCUGAAAAUGGAUUUUAAAUGGUAAAGUAAAUAAAGAACAGUACAUUGCCUAUUACUCCAGUCCACAUUGGUUUCUCCCUUCCGUGUCCUCUGUAAUAUUUUAAUCUGUCCCACUAUAUCAAUACUGAUUGUCUGCUCUAUUGUAUUUAUGCCAGUUCAAAAGAGAGAAGAGUAUAUAAUCAAAUAAGGUAGUGUUCAUGGUUAUGCUUUGUAAACUACCGAGUACUGUGUUGCGUAUUUCAACUUAUUUCAUCUGUUACUUCCGGUUCUCAGUUUAUGUCAUAAUUACUUUGAAAUUCCUUCUUAUCUAGCACCAUGCUAGACAAAAGGAGGGUCUAUAUUAUUGACUCACUUAAUAGUAAUUAUAAUUUUUGAAAAUGAUUCUCAACCAUUGAAGAGCAUACUGACCCAAGGCCAAUAUUCUUCAAAGAUGACUCCAUUCAGCCAGAUACUGCUUCUGAGACAAACAUUCAAUUUGAAAGGUAAUUCUUUUAUUCCUCAAUGCAUGUUUCUUUUCCCCUUUGAAUAAAUCAGUUAGAUUUUUUCAUUUGAAAAGGAUGAUUAUUUCUACAUUGGUACAUAGGUACCAGAGGUACCAAAAGGCUUUAAUAAAAAGAAAGCAAUUUAAAAAUUGACUCUAAUGAUUAAAAAUGAUCCCUGAACAGUGAUCUCCUUGAAGACAGAGACUCUUGGAUAUUAUUUUUGAAUGUUUUUUAGCACAUAGCAAAUGAUGUUAUAGAGGCUUAAUUAAGGUAUGUGGAAUAAAUGAAUAGAGGUCUGAUAGUAGGGGAGUACUUCUGUGACCAGGAGACCUUGGCUGUAACUAUUGCUACUGGAGGAGAAUUAACAGCAUGAAAGCUAUCUCAGCAUCAGAUAAAAAAUAGUAUGAAAAUGCCAUUUAAUUUAGGACUCAGAUGCCUGGGCUAAUC